ensembl:snoRNA LOC120093317 small nucleolar RNA SNORA73 family
CCAACAUGGACACCCUGAGAGGUCACUCUCCCUGGGUUCUGUCCUAGUGGCAUAUGGGAGCAUAGGGUAUUACCGGGUGAUAUAAAGUCCCUUUCCACAAUGUUGGCGAUGAAGCUGGGCUUCAACUUUGCGUCUCCAUAUACAUAUGACUUCUCAGAGUCCUGUAGAUGAUGACUGAGAAGACAAACCAUGUGGAAAAAAAAG